AGUGAACGCUGGCGGUAGGCCUAACACAUGCAAGUCGAACGGCAGCACAGUAAGAGCUUGCUCUUACAGGUGGCGAGUGGCGGACGGGUGAGGAAUACAUCGGAAUCUACUUUUUCGUGGGGGAUAACGUAGGGAAACUUACGCUAAUACCGCAUACGACCUACGGGUGAAAGCAGGGGAUCUUCGGACCUUGCGCGAUUGAAUGAGCCGAUGUCGGAUUAGCUAGUUGGCGGGGUAAAGGCCCACCAAGGCGACGAUCCGUAGCUGGUCUGAGAGGAUGAUCAGCCACACUGGAACUGAGACACGGUCCAGACUCCUACGGGAGGCAGCAGUGGGGAAUAUUGGACAAUGGGCGCAAGCCUGAUCCAGCCAUACCGCGUGGGUGAAGAAGGCCUUCGGGUUGUAAAGCCCUUUUGUUGGGAAAGAAAAGCAGCAGGUUAAUACCCCGCUGUUCUGACGGUACCCAAAGAAAAAGCACCGGCUAACUUCGUG
rnacentral:rRNA from 1 species